rnacentral:rRNA from 1 species
GACGAACGCUGGCGGCGUGCUUAACACAUGCAAGUCGAACGGAAGGGCCCCCUUGUGGGGUACUCGAGUGGCGAACGGGUGAGUAACACGAGAGUAACCUACCCUUGACUUUGGGAUAACUUCAGGAAACUGGGGCUAAUACCGGAUAGGAGCUCCUGCUGCAUGGUGGGGGUUGGAAAGUUUCGGCGGUUGGGGAUGGACUCUCGGCUUAUCAGCUUGUUGGUGGGGUAGUGGCUCACCAAGGCUUUGACGGGUAGCCGGCCUGAGAGGGUGACCGGCCACAUUGGGACUGAGAUACGGCCCAGACUCCUACGGGAGGCAGCAGUGGGGAAUAUUGCACAAUGGGCGGAAGCCUGAUGCAGCAACGCCGCGUGCGGGAUGACGGCCUUCGGGUUGUAAACCGCUUUCGCCUGUGACGAAGCGUGAGUGACGGUAAUGGGUAAAGAAGCACCGGCUAACUACGUG